rnacentral:misc_RNA from 1 species
GAUGAAGAACGUAGCGAAAUGCGAUAAGUAAUGUGAAUUGCAGAAUUCAGUGAAUCAUCGAAUCUUUGAACGCACAUUGCGCCCCCUGGUAUUCCGGGGGGCAUGCCUGUUCGAGCGUCAUUUCACCACUCAAGCCUCGCUUGGUAUUGGGCAACGCGGUCCGCCGCGUGCCUCAAAUCGAGCGGCUGGGUCUUCUGUCCCCUAAGCGUUGUGGAAACUAUUCGCUAAAGGGUGUUCGGGAGGCUACGCCGUAAAACAACCCCAUUUCUAAGGUUGACCUCGGAUCAGGUAGGGAUACCCGCUGAACUUAAGCAUAUCAAUAAGCGGAGGA